rnacentral:rRNA from 1 species
AGUGAACGCUGGCGGUAGGCCUAACACAUGCAAGUCGAACGGCAGCACAGUAAGAGCUUGCUCUUACGGGUGGCGAGUGGCGGACGGGUGAGGAAUACAUCGGAAUCUACUUUUUCGUGGGGGAUAACGUAGGGAAACUUACGCUAAUACCGCAUACGACCUACGGGUGAAAGCAGGGGAUCUUCGGACCUUGCGCGAUUGAAUGAGGCGAUGUCGGAUUAGCUAGUUGGCGGGGUAAAGGCCCACCAAGGCGACGAUCCGUAGCUGGUCUGAGAGGAUGAGCAGCCACACUGGAACUGAGACACGGUCCAGACUCCUACGGGAGGCAGCAGUGGGGAAUAUUGGACAAUGGGCGCAAGCCUGAUCCAGCCAUACCGCGUGGGUGAAGAAGGCCUUCGGGUUGUAAAGCCCUUUUGUUGGGAAAGAAAAGCAGCAGGUUAAUACCCCGCUGUUCUGACGGUACCCAAAGAAUAAGCACCGGCUAACUUCGU